rnacentral:rRNA from 1 species
CGUUCAGGGGUAAACCUGCGAAACUCGAAUGAACGAACGGGGAGAUUCAUCGCCACUCGGCGGCGCCGGCGCGUCGUCUCGAUGCGGUCGGACGGCGUUCUGCGUCGCUCCGGUCGCACGAGCGAUUCGCCGCGCGUCCGCCGACGGCGUGCACUUCUCCCUCAGUAAUGCAUCGCGACCCGCUCGACGUCGGCCUAAGCGCCGCCCGGGAGCCCCGCGGACCUUCGGGCUCCGCGGGACCGGGUGGACAUCGCCGGUCGGCCGUCGGGCGGUCGGAGACACGAAUCGCGCACGCGCCCAGCGCGUCCGGCCCGACGCGAGGCGUCGGCGUAUCCGCGGUCCCGCCCGAGUGCGAACCGUUGUGCGUCGCGCCUGUCCGUCGCAGCCGUGCAGUCUCGGACUGUGCGCGUAUCCGUCUGCGAUGAUUUUGUUUCGGGCACUCGCAGGACCCGUCUUGAAACACGGACCAAGGAGUCUAGCAUGUGUGCGAGUCAUUGAGAUUCAACUAAACUGAAAGGCACAACGAAAGUGAAGGCGUGCGCCCUGUGCGCGCGCUCGGGGAGGAUGGCGGCGGGUCACGCGCUCGCCGCCCGCACUCCCGAGGCGUCUCGUUUGCAAUCCGUCAAUGCAGGCGCGCUCAGAGCACAGAUGCUGGGACCCGAAAGAUGGUGAACUAUGCCUGGUCAGGUCGAAGUCAGGGGAAACCCUGAUGGAGGACCGUAGCGAUUCUGACGUGCAAAUCGAUCGUCGGAACUGGGUAUAGGGGCGAAAGACUAAUCGAACCAUC